rnacentral:rRNA from 1 species
UACGUAGGGUGCAAGCGUUGUCCGGAAUUAUUGGGCGUAAAGAGCUCGUAGGCGGCGUGUCGCGUCGGUUGUGAAAGCCCGGGGCUUAACUCCGGGUCUGCAGUCGAUACGGGCAUGCUUGAGUUCGGUAGGGGAGAUCGGAAUUCCUGGUGUAGCGGUGAAAUGCGCAGAUAUCAGGAGGAACACCGGUGGCGAAGGCGGAUCUCUGGGCCGAUACUGACGCUGAGGAGCGAAGGCGUGGGGAGCGAACAGG